ensembl:lncRNA
UUAGCAUUUUGCUUUUAAAAAGUGGGAGGAGGAUUUGGCUCUUCUUUGGGACCGGGACCACCUCGCUGAGUCCCACAGCACUGCUGGAGCAGUCCCCACAUGUCAGCCCUUCUGCCCCACUCCAAGCCAUGGGUGAAGGGUGCAGGCCGUGCCCCCCCAGCCCGGCUGUUGCUUCGUGGGGGUUUUCCCCAAAGCAGAGCAGGACCUCAGCUGCAGCUCCGGUGGGUGGCAGCACUGACACGGCUUCUGCAGGUGUGACACGGGUGUGACAUGCGAGGGGACCUUCGGUGGCCGCCAGCACACCUCCUCCAGGACGUGGGCAUUUGCUGGGAACGAGGAGAUAGAAAUAUUUGUUGGGUCUGGUCCCCGAUGUCCUUUGUCAGUUAUUUUCCUGCAGAGGUCACAGCUGGGAGCUGCAGUCCGGACUGACGGCUCAGACAGAGGUUUGUGUUCUUUAAGCCACUUCUGCUGUCAGACCAGAGCUGUCCUGCCCGGCAGUUGGCUCCAAAGGAAAACACUUUUGGGAGCCAAAGGGUGUUGGGUUCAGCUCAGCCCGUGUGGCUGCUGGGUGCCAUGCAGGGGACAAGGCCAGCAGGAGAAACACCUUCUGUUCCGCUGGCUGCAAGGGUUGAAGUCCAGGGGCAGUUCACAAACACAGCGCGGGGCCUUCACCCGCCAGCAGUUCAGAGCAGAGCUGGGGCUGCUUCUCCCAGUCUCAAAUUCCCCAACAGCUUAUUCUGGGGUUGCUGCUACCGACUGUUCUUGGCGCUGUUUGCUCUUAGCUGCUCCCCUGCUUGCCUCCUGCCAUGACACUGAGCAGUGCCAGCCACAGUUGGAGCACUCGGGAGUUCCCCAGUUGUGGUUAUACCAGCCACUGCUGCGGGCUCAUACCAGCAGAGACCCUGCAGGAGCUGAGGGCAGAGAUGCCGGGUAUGGUAACAAAACGCAGCCCCACAUGGUGACUGCAACCCAUCCGGGUGCACCUGGGAUGCCAGGUGUGAGUUAGUGGGGUGAGGAGGUGCUGGGGAAGUAAGGAGGGUUGGGCUCAGUGGUGGUUAUGAGCAGUCCCCAGGGCCUGCCCGUGCUUGCUCUGCAGGAGGGGCCAGCAGCAGGUAGGGAGCCCAACCCCAUCUGCUCACCCUCAGCUCUGGUAACAGCCUCACUGCUCUGCAAUGGAACAUGGGGGUUCCAGAACAGCACUUCAGCCCCCCCAAGCUCACCCACCCCCCAGUAUUUCAGAGCAGGGUAUGCUCACAGUACAGCUACACAAUACCCUCUGCUGUGUUCCAGUGCCACCUAAAGGAAACGAGCACAGGGUUAGCUGCAGAGCAGACCAGAAGGACCCAGAGCAGAGCAGACACAGCCCGACAGGUGGUAACGAGGGCAGGCUGCAGGCAGCUACCCCACAUCCUCCUCACUUUCCCACAAGGUCACUGCUGAACUGGGUGGGUGCUGCUUUUUGAACCUGAGGGCCUAUAAAACUGGGAGAAUGAAUGCGCACAGUGUCCUGCUAUUCAAAAAAUAAAACCCGGUAAGCCAGGUGCAAGGCCAGGCUGGACUUUGCCCAAGCAGGAUUUUCCACCGUUUGUGCCCACUCCCUCUGGCAGGAGGCAGAAAU